GGAGGAAUGUCCGAACGGUAAGGGGCCGGUCUUGAAAAUCGGUGUAGGCGAAAGCCGUGGGGGUUCGAAUCCCUCUUCCUCCGCCA
rnacentral:tRNA from 1 species